GUCCUUAGAGUUGAUGCUCUUUGGAUGAAAGGUGACCUCUUCAUGAAAGUUGCCGUUUAAGGAGGGGCUCGCGUACCAUUAGCUUGUUGGUGGGGUAAUGGCCUACCAAGGCUACGAUGGUUAGCUGGUCUGAGAGGAUGAUCAGCCACACUGGAACUGAAACACGGUCCAGACUCCUACGGGAGGCAGCAGUGAGGAAUUUUGCGCAAUGGGGGAAACCCUGACGCAGCAACGCCGCGUGAGUGUGAAGGCUUUCGGGUCGUAAAGCUCUGUCAAGUGGGAAAAAGGAACCAUGGUAAAUAGCCAUGGGACUUGAUGGUACCACUGGAGGAAGCACCGGCUAACUCCGUGCCAGCAGCCGCGGUAGUACGGAGGGUGCAAGCGUUGAUCGGAAUUAUUGGGCGUAAAGAGCGUGUAGGCGGUAUGGUAAGUCAGAUGUGAAAGCCCUGGGCUCGACCCAGGAAGUGCAUUUGAUACUGCCAUUCUUGAGUAUGGGAGAGGAGAGUGGAAUUCCCAGUGUAGAAAUUCGUAGAUAUUGGGAGGAACAUCCGUGGCGAAGGCGACUCUCUGGACCAAUACUGACGCUGAGACGCGAGAGCGUGGGGAGCAAACAGGAUUAGGUACCCUGGUAGUCCACGCCGUAAACGAUGAGAACUAGGUGUAGCGGGUAUUGACCCCUGCUGUGCCGAAGUUAACGCAUUAAGUUCUCCGCCUGGGGAGUACGGCCGCAAGGCUAAAACUCAAAGGAAUUGACGGGGACCCGCACAAGCGGUGGAGCAUGUGGUUUAAUUCGACGCAACGCGAAGAACCUUACCUGGAUUUGACAUCCUCUGACAACCCUGGAAACAGGGCCUUUCCGACUUGUCGGAACAGAGUGACAGGUGCUGCAUGGCUGUCGUCAGCUCGUGUCGUGAGAUGUUGGGUUAAGUCCCGCAACGAGCGCAACCCUUGUUUUUAGUUGCCAGUAUUCGGUUAGGCACUCUAAAGAUACUGCCUCGGUUAACGGGGAGGAAGGUGGGGAUGACGUCAAGUCCUCAUGGCCUUUAUAUCCAGGGCUACACACGUGCUACAAUGGGCUGUACAAAGGGUUGCCACUCCGCGAGGAGGCGCUAAUCUCAAAAAGCAGCUCUCAGUUCGGAUUGGAGUCUGCGGCUCGACUCCAUGAAGGUGGAAUCGCUAGUAAUCGUGGAUCAGCAUGCCACGGUGAAUACGUUCCCGGGUCUUGUACACACCGCCCGUCACACCGCGAAAGUCGGCUGUACCAGAAGUUGCUGGGCUAACCCCGCACCU
rnacentral:rRNA from 1 species